rnacentral:rRNA from 1 species
AGUGAACGCUGGCGGUAGGCCUAACACAUGCAAGUCGAACGGCAGCACAGUAAGAGCUUGCUCUUACGGGUGGCGAGUGGCGGACGGGUGAGGAAUACAUCGGAAUCUACUUUUUCGUGGGGGAUAACGUAGGGAAACUUACGCUAAUACCGCAUACGACCUACGGGUGAAAGCAGGGGAUCUUCGGACCUUGCGCGAUUGAAUGAGCCGAUGUCGGAUUAGCUAGUUGGCGGGGUAAAGGCCCACCAAGGCGACGAUCCGUAGCUGGUCUGAGAGGAUGAUCAGCCACACUGGACCUGGGAAACGUUCAGAACUCCAACGGGAGGCGGAGGUGGGAAAUAUGGAACAAGGGGCGCAAGCCUGACCCAGCCAUACCGCGGGGGUAAGAAGGCCUUCGGGUUGUAAAGCCCUUUUGUUGGGAAAGAAAAGCAGCAGGUUAAUACCCCGCUGUUCUGACGGUACCCAAAGAAUAAGCACCGGCUAACUUCGUG